UUGCAUGUUUUCUAUUUACAGUUUCAAGAUUAACAAUUAACAGUUAACAAAUAAACGAAUGAUUACAGCAAAUCUUAACGGACAUGGCGGCACACCAGGCUACUGUUGUACAAAUUGACUAUUCAAAGCUAACAGUAUCGAAAUUUGAGCUGAAGAAUAAGAACAAACUGUACAAGACUAACAAGUUAUCUGGCCAAGAAAGAAAAGUUCAGUUUAAAAAUCAUUCAUACAAUGCCAGUAGUAAUAACAGAACUGAUUCAGUUUUAAAUGGUGUUUUUCUUGCCUUUGGUUACUGUGUACACAAUGCAUAAUGUAAGAGUUUACUCACAGUCAAGAUGUAAUGCGCAUGUGCAAAAUUAAAGAGGGGUGGGGCUUGUCACAUGUGCUUGUCUGCACAUGCGCUAUGCGUAGAUCUGAUUGCGACCUCGCGGUAGGAGAACUAGAACUUGUGAAGAUGGAAGAUACCGAUGGGUGGUCUGGCGAAUCCAUUGCUGUCUUCACAGCACGAAGCUAACCGGAAUCAAGUAACUGAUUUCUUCAAGUUUUGAAGCAAGAGCGAGAGUAUCACGGACCGCUUUUUUUGGAAGCCCGUACAAUGUAGUACAUCGAGUCUCAUCUGGCAGCAGCUUGUGUGAGCAGCUUCAAAAGCAAUGCAUUCACCCCCCCUCAUACCAACGAACCUCCCCUCGAGCCUGGGUUGGUUUCCUUGUAAGGAUCGGGCAAGACACUCAUAAGGGACACCAACACUUAAUGCCAAGCAGUCCAGCCAUUCUGGAAUUAUAACAAGUCAUUCAGAUUGCAUGAUUAGAGUGGCUAUUCAAUCUCUUCUGCAUUUAGUGUUUACAAAUUAGUAUGAGUCAGCUGUCCAUACUUGAACCGGGGUCGUAAUGCAGGCAAACCAGGCAGAACAUACAGACCCCAUUAAUUAACAUGUGCUGGUACCUUAUAUAAUGAUGAGCAGGUUUUCAAUGAUACGGCUCACCAGGGGAUAUUAGUGCACAAUCCAAGACAUCCACUUGGCCCUCUCAAAUUCAAAUCUUGCCGGAGCCUCGUUGUAUUGGCUGGCAAGUGUCUCACGUAGGGUUUUGACAUCACUCUAUAAUUAUGUUUAGAUGUGAUAAACCUCAUGUCCUUUGAAGAUGCCUGGCCUUGGACACUUUCUUCCUUUCGUCCAAACUCAUGUUUUUAGUUGCCUGGGUCACAACGAUCUUUCUCACCUCAGUGGAGUUUACGAAGUGGAACUUUGUCAAUAAUAAUUAUGCAUGCAUAUGGUUCUGUAUCUCAUGUAGUCUAUAUUGCCAUCUCAUAAUAGACAGGUGGGCCAGUGUUGUUGAAACUACACACUUGUAUAGAUUACCGGCUCUACCGUGGCCUGUGAGUUGUCUAUUUCAAUGUAUCUCUCAUAAUUAUGGAACUAUACCUGUACUGUUCUCUGUAGUUAACGAGUUGUAGGAAAACUGUUUAGUGUUUGAUUUUCUACUAAUGCAUGUCCUUAUAAUUAUAACAAGCGAUUCAGAUUGCAUGAUUAGAGUGCAUGUACUGUUUUCUAUGUACCCGGACAUAUAUCAAACUUUGUCGAUAUGGUUCUUAGCUUCUGCUAAUUAUUAUUAUAACAUGAUUAUUGUCUGAGCUUCCUUGUUAGCCCCAACUUAAUUGUCGUGUAUAUAGAUCUGUGACGUGGUUAUCACAAUUUCCAGAGGUGAGAGCAGCUUCAAAAGCAAUGCAUUCACCCCCCUCAUACCAACGAACCUCCCCUCGAGCCUGGGUUGGUUUCCUUGUAAGGAUCGGGCAAGACACUCAUAAGGGACACCAACACUUAAUGCCAAGCAGUCCAGCCAUUCUUUUAGACAAGAAGCACACUGAGCUGGUGAGACAUUAUAUUGCAUCAUAAUAAGACUAUAUUCUUUGGUGUAGUGUUUCGAGGCACGAAAUUUUCGAGGUUUUCGAGGAUUGACCCAGAAACAGGCAGGCUGGAAGGAGAUCGAUAGUUUCUGCACAUAGAGAAUUUGUUAGGCUUCCCCAAACAUAGUUUGGGGUAACUAAUAAGCCUUAUAAGGAAGUAUAACAGCCGGUUCGUCAGGCGGACUUAGAAUCGCGUUUUGUAAACAUGCAGUUGUGCACAACUCCCGAUGCUGUGAAGGAUAUCAUUACCACUGGGUCACCUGUAAAUAAACAUAAACUUAACAUGUACAAGUUCAAUAACUAGAUUGUUCAUUUACUUUCAUCUUCAGGAACACUUGUCUCUUUCAAUGACCUUCCUGCUGGUACUCAUAUAGACACUAUACUCUUUGAACCACAUCAUUUUCAAUUUAUAUCUCCCUUGGGUGUGAGUAAACUCUGACUUUCCUUCUGGUACCUCCGUACUUAUAUACACUCUUUGAACCAAGGCCCUCCAUAUUUCUACUAUUAAUGAGUAUACUCUUUGCAGGUGUUAUCAUUGCGAGGAAAUAUUUAUUUAUAUUCGGUUGAGACUUCCCACAGUAUUAUUUUAGUGACUAUCAGUUUUGGUGGCCAUGGCCGGGUUGCGAUCGACAUUUCCAUAAUAUUGUGGUGAUGUUUCAAAGAUUUGAGACUUCCCACAGUAGGAUUAUGGAGAUUGUUCUGAGCCUUCGGAAUACCUCCUAUAGUACUCUUUGAACCAGUGUCAAUACUUCUGAGAGUAUUGUCGCACUUGGUCUGGCAUCAGGGGACGAUCAACGGAGUUUUCAUUUGUAUGCCCACCUGCAGCCGGCUCUAUGACAAUCCUUCAUUAAUUUUCAUUGAAUGAUAAUGAAUUCAAAACACACCCACUUAUUCAUGACAAACUAUAGCCGUGCCCCCCCUCCCCAGUUCUACGUAUCAUGUCUCCCCCUAGUCUUGAUUCUACUAUUCAGAUGAUGUAUAUUACCGGUUUCUUUUAGUGCCUAUUUAAAGGAAAGCUGCCUUUGCAUGGCCUAAAGAUUCAUGGGCUACGUUAGGGGGUUAUAUACAUGCAGUAAUUAUGUAUUAGCCACAAACUUACUGAAUGGGUUAGGAAUUUUUGGUCUGUUGCAAUAAAACAGCUGCCUUACGAAGCCAUCUGCUAAGAAGAGAACAAUUAUAUUCACAACGUAGAGAGUGAGUUGUCAGCUAGCUCCCUGCUUCAUGUACCCGUAUAAUGGUGGUAAUAUACCUCUUGCAUGGAAAGCAUUGCAUCAUACAAUUCCAACCCUUAUUUGUUGCUGUCACAUGUGGGUGGGUCCCUUUCACUGUAUUUGUGCUUUUGUAACACUUUUAUUACUCACAACUUGCAUAAAAUCUUAUGUCUGUACCGCUCACAUCUAGCCUGUCUAGAGUUAUUGUAUCAUUUAGCUAACUAUUUGUCUGUACCGAGGGCAUGCAUCAUCACACACUAUUCACAUGCAGGUGAUGCCCUGUUCAGCCACAGCUUCAUCUGGACAGCUUCGGAAGUGCAUCUAAUUAGCAUGUUGUUUCUCUGCAGGGAUGAACAUGCAACGGCCUUGGGCUAUAAUUAUAUUAAUCCAUGGCAUUGUUACACAUUUACAAGUACUUUCAUUCUUUUUAGCAUUGCCAUGAAUUGAAAAUGUCGUUAUACAAAACUUAAUGUAAUGAUCUUUACCAAAAUGGA